GUGAGGAAUAUUGCGCAAUGGACGAAAGUCUGACGCAGCCAUGCCGCGUGAAGGAUUGACGGCCCUAUGGGUUGUAAACUUCUUUUGUAUAGGAAUAAACCCUCGUUCGUGAACGAGGCUGAAGGUACUAUAAGAAUAAGCACCGGCUAACUCCGUGCCAGCAGCCGCGGUAAUACGGAGGGUGCAAGCGUUAUCCGGAUUUAUUGGGUUUAAAGGGUCCGUAGGCGGAUCGUUAAGUCAGUGGUGAAAUCCUACCGCUCAACGGUGGAAGUGCCAUGGAUACUGGCGAUCUUGAGUAUGUAUGAAGUGGGCGGAAUGUGUGGUGUAGCGGUGAAAUGCUGAGAUAUCACACAGAACACCGAUUGCGAAGGCAGCUGACUAAUACACAACUGACGCUGAGGGACGAAAGUGUGGGGAUCAAACAGGAUUAGAAACCCGUGUAGUCC
rnacentral:rRNA from 1 species